AUUUGAUCUCAGCACAGCUCUGAUUAAACAAGUGACUGUUUUCAGUCCAUCAGUCAAUGUCAAAUCUCAGACAGAGACAAGCACACUGCGAAACCCCGUGGCUUCAGCCCCGACUCACUGGCCAAGUCCUGAGGAUCAGUACGGAGGCGUGUUUCUGGAAGCGGUUUACAUCUUGCACAACAAAAGGAGGACAAAUGGAAGGAGGAAAAUCUCACCGUGCCACUAAGAAACCUGACUUGGAGCUGCCUCACCCCUUACACUCUCAGAUUCAUUACCAAGAUUUGGGAAAUAAAGGAACAAUUUAAUAGGAAGACAAGAUGCACUUAAAUACACUGAAAAAGAAUGGACAAACAUAAUUAGCACCAUGGUAAGAAUCAUUGCCUCUUCAAAAACAUCUCUUUCCUUACCUUCUUGAAACCACUUCCCUCUUUUUGGGCAUAAGUCCAGAAGAAGAAAAAGGAUAUUUUCCCUCCUUCUUUUUGAUAAAAUAAUCCAUUUUACUGCUUCAGACAAGCUGUUAUUCAUCUUGAACCUGUCCAUCCCUCCCACUGGGAGCUCCAGAUUGAUUUACCAGCUAAUCCGGUUAGCAGCUCCUGCCAGCCACGGCAUUCCAACAUCCCCUAAUACAAAGCAGAGGAAAAACUGCACAUACGUGUGUGUGACAGAGAGCAUGUGUAUGUUUGUACAUGCAUGUACAUCUGUGUGUUUGGGCCAGAAAAUGAGAAAGCAACAAAGAAAUUGUUAACUCAGAAGUCCCUUUCUACUUUCAGAGCAGAACUACACUUCCAAGCCGAGGAGCAGAGAAGCUCUAGCAGAAGCUGCUAAAUACAGGACAAUGAUGCUAGCAGCAAAGUAGCACCAACUCUGCAGAUCUCCUCCAUACCCCCAAGCUUUCUGGUGCUGGUGUGAAAAAAAAUCAUCUGAUAAUCCCUGAGAUUUCACAAGACAAAAUAUGGGUGGCCACAACACAGCGUCCUAUGAACCCUCAUACAGUUUUACCUAUAUUUGCUGACAGCCCUGGUUCACUCAGCUCUCCAGCCAACUAGCAGUUUCUUUGUCUUUCCCUCAGGUCAGGCAGUUGGUUACAUUACAAGAAAAAAAAAAAAAAGUGGCAAAGAUCAAAACUGCUAUUGCCACAUCUGCCACCUAUGACUCUGGCAGCAACGUUCAGUGAACAGGGAAUAAAUGAGGUAAGAAGAAAAAAGAACAGGCUGGUGCUGCCUGAACAGUAUCACUGUCCCAGGAUUUCUGACUGUACUGCACUUGAGGUUAAAGCCUCACUGGAGUAAUACUGCAACAUCUGGGGCCGUGCUUCCAAAGAAGCUUCCCUUUUCUAGGAAGACAUUUCUGAUAGCUCUGCAUCCAGAUUCCUGUUCCUUGAUAGAAGACAAGACUGUUAGAGAGGCUGUGGGAGAAAAGGUGAGUGAGUAUUUGGAAGACUAGGUAAGAAGCAGAAGUGUGGGCACACGGAGAGGAUGCAUGUGCAUAUACAAGACAGGCCUGAGGAUAUCUUUGUGAGAAAGCAAGUGGGAGUAUGCACCCUUGCUGAGUGUGGAGACAUGCCACGCUGUUUGCGCGUUGUUGCAAGCACAUGGGAUUGUUUGCAAAAUGGCUUCAGAUCAAUGGGUCAACUCUCCAGUUGCUAAGCCCCUGCCACUCUGGGUUCACUAUUCUUGUACCACAAGCUGCUGCAGCCGUACCGGGAAGGUACAAGAGCAGAGAGGCACACUAAGUGGGAAAUGAGCAAGUGUCACGAAACAAAAUCAAUAGCCUGGAGCCAAAGCUGUUUCUCUCCCUUUCCUGUCUCUGAUUUGUGUGUGUGCAUGCCUGUGUGUGUGUGUAACUCCAGGGCUUCUUUACCUCCUCUAUUCCCUUCUUUCCCUGCCACUGCAAAUGUUGCAGAGCAUGAUAAUGAAAGCUGGUGUCCAAGCCACCAGACAAGCCCAUCACUGCAAUCAGAACAACUGCACGAGAUAGCAGCCUGCGGGCUCAUCAAGCUGUCCUGACGCUGGCCAGCCUCAUGCACGUGAAGAUGCCAAUCUCGCCUCUCUCCCAUUCCUCCUCCUCCUCUUUGGCAGCCCAGUCUCCUCACCCUCCUCCCGCUGCCACGCUCCCGUCCUCGCCCUCCCCCUCUCCUCCAUCCAUGCGCAGCACCAGAGGAACGCCAGCCUGGGCCACAUCCCAGCCUUGUCUCUUAACGAUUCUGAUAGGAAAUGCCCAGCAGGCUGAAUCUUUCCUAGAAAAGCAAGGGGAGGUCGGAAGGCAUAUGGUUGCUGUCCUCUGAGCUCCGGGUGACAAGGUCUGUGAUGCUGCCUCCUUCCCAGGCGGAAAAGGGAAAAAAAGAGAGAGAGAAAGAGAGAAAUAUCUCCUGCCUGGGCUUUGGGAAAUCACAGGCUGCUCCCUGCAGUGAGCAAACCUCUCUGACCCCGUACCACACUGCUGGGCACAUAUCACACUACCCUGGCAUAGCAGAGGCUGGCAUUGUCCCAAAAUGAGAAGUUAAAAACGCAGAGAGCCUGACAUCUCUCAGCUUGUUUGUUUAACACAGUCAUGGGGUGCUCCUCUCUUUGCGAGAACAAACAUCGGGCUGCCUAUCCUCCCUGACCUAGAAUCACAAGUUUUGAGGCACAUUUGGUACCAAAGGUGAACCUCAAAGAGAGAACAGAAGAAUUCCUGUGUCUUUGUGACUUCUAUUGUCAUUGCUGGCAGAUGCUUUGCCCAGUUCCACUCACAGUUACUUAAAAUCCUGCUGGAACCAAGAGUUACCUGGCUGUCCAGGCUGUGAGCUGGGCCGAAUGUCUAGGCUGUUUGUUAUGGCAAGAGCAAUGUGAUCUCUGGAGAACAAGCUCACCACUACAUGGGACAGGGAAGGUGGGCACAGAGCUGGCAAUGGGCCACACUCUGCUCAGAGACUUGCUGGACUCUGGACAACCAAAUUAAGCAGCUGAAAAGAAGCAGGACAACACUUCUCCCACUUGUUCUAUAGAACUUGUUGCAACAACCCCUGUCCUAGUCAUCUGUGCCACUGGCACGAAGGGAAGUUAGCAAUUUUGCAUUUUAACCCUAAGUAUAAGUGAGUUUAGGUUAUUGCACUGUAGGCCUUCUACAGGGUUGUUUUUCAGCAGCAGCAUGUUCUCAUAAAACACAGAAUGGAACUACACAUUUCCCCACUAAACGAGCACAAGGGCUCUUCUUUCAUACAAGUGAGUUCUCUCAACAUAUGAAUUCACUGAUCUUUCUUAUUGAACCUACAUAAAGCUUCUUUCCAACAUACACCUCACCUUUAAUAAUCAAUAUUUCCUUUCCACUUGCUCAGCUUUCAAGGUCGUAUGUUGAACAGAUUAUUCACACUUUUAGGAAUCUCCUCUUAGGCUGAUGCUACCACUGACAUUAUGAGGAAUUUAAAGCAAAAACACACUGAACCCAGCUUGAGGUUGACUUGCCAAUGGAAUCUUAGGCCAAAAAAAAAAAGAAGAAAGUGCUGUUUGUCCAAAGUAAAAGGGCAAAUAAAAUCAUUUCCAGGCUUUUAAAGAAGCUAUUACAUAUAGCAAAGUAAAAGAAAGAUUACUUGAUGACAGUGGCCUUUUAAAAUCUUACAGAGAGCAGGAGCACUAAGCAGUUAGCCAAAGGCUAUCUAUAUUCUGCUACUCUUACACGUGCUCCUAGCUCCUGCUUUAGAAAACGUCCUUUCACAGUCAUGGCACUGUAUUCAGAACACGGAACAAUUACCUGUAAUCCUACACGCUAUCAUAUCCAUUGAUUCCAUGCAGUAGCUUUUAAAAAAUAUUUAUCUAAAUGGGAUUCGAGCAUGCCGUAAUACUAGCCUGCAUUUGGAACGCGGUGCUAACUAUGAGCAAAAUGAAACAGAAGAAAAGUUCAGGAGCUUUUUGCUGUCUUUUCUUUUAAACACAAAAUGUCUCCAUUAUCAAGAUGAUUUUAUCCUAGAAGCAGAGAAAUAGAUUAGUUACACCAAAUGCCAGUGAGCACCAUCACCUCUAGGAAGCUGUGGCUAGCCACAGCACUAAACAAGGUAUUUGCUGCAGCUGAGCUUGUGCCAGAGUCUCCAUACCUGCAUAGGGAAUGCAUUGGUUUGGACAGCGCUGAGUCUAGCAGAAAAACCCAAGAGCUCGCCAAGCACAACAGCCCAGAUCUGUGCAGUCUCAGUACAAGACGAACUUCAGAUUCAAACAUUUCAGCUCUGAUAUGGAAUCAAAAGAGGGCUGUUUCCUGGAAAUCAUUAAAUGAAGCUCACCCCACUUGAAAUCUUCAGUGAGAUCCUACAUCACAACAGGCUGAUGCCUCUAAAGACCUCGCUGGAUUCCCACCACGAUUUGGCCUUAAACCUGAAGUUUCAACACCCCGUUUACCACCCCCACCAGAGUGCUACUCUACCAUUAACUACUUUUUUACCUUCAACACCAUUUUUACCUUAUGACCUGAAAGCGCUCUACCAAUAUGAGAUUUAACAAUUCCAGUCAUCCCCUGUCUUGGAGGCAACUAAGGCUUCUUGCCCUUCUGUGGCAGACAGAUACAUUGCUCACAAGGAGUUGACAUGAGAUGGAGAAGGUCAAACAGUAAUGAAGUGGCAGUGGUUUGGAGGAGAACCCAGAAGUCCAGUAGCCCAGACCCCUGUUUAAUCUCGUAGACUUCCCUAUAACCAGUUUUUAUGUUUCAGAAGGAAAAGAAGAGUAACGACUGUGACUUAUCAAAUGUCUAAACAGAAGCAGGGGGGAAAAAAAGUGUGCUUGGCUGUCUGACUAUUACAAAAUGCUUGCAAAUGCAAAUUAACCUCACCUGAGUCCAUUUCACAUUCGGAGGAGGUAGCUAGUCUAUCCACCAGCCCACCAGAGCAACAUGGGAGACAUCAGGACACCAUCACAAACACCAUGCUCAUCUCCAAACAAGGGGCUGAAGUUUGGUGGGGGAUUCCCGGAAAGCCCGCUUGGGCUGCAUUUAUUCCUGUGAAGCCAGGUGGGACGGGAUGGCCAUCAAUCUGUUCACACCUUGUCAACAAGGGGCCUGCUCUGAGCACAUCCC